AUAGCAAGACAACAAUGACUGUAAAGCGAUAAGUGUAUAUAAUAUAGAUAUGUGUUUGUUUCCAUUUUCAAAAGGAAGAGCGGGGGCUUAGAAAAAAGCAAGCAACAUUACAUUGGAUAUGUAAGGAAACUUGUACGGAUCAAGUAAGCAGCAUGUGUUUGGAGAGCGCAGAAGAACAGAUCCACCAUCUGGUACAAGCAUUCUUUAUUCAAAUCAAUGAAAAUAAUGAAUACUUAAAUAUGUAUUUCUAGUAAUGUUGAAUGUAC